rnacentral:rRNA from 1 species
AUUGAACGCUGGCGGCAUGCCUUACACAUGCAAGUCGAACGGCAGCACGGGAGCAAUCCUGGUGGCGAGUGGCGAACGGGUGAGUAAUAUAUCGGAACGUGCCCAGUCGUGGGGAUAACGUAGCGAAAGCUACGCUAAUACCGCAUACGAUCUAUGGAUGAAAGCGGGGGAUCGCAAGACCUCGCGCGAUUGGAGCGGCCGAUAUCAGAUUAGGUAGUUGGUGAGGUAAAGGCUCACCAAGCCGACGAUCUGUAGCUGGUCUGAGAGGACGACCAGCCACACUGGGACUGAGACACGGCCCAGACUCCUACGGGAGGCAGCAGUGGGGAAUUUUGGACAAUGGGCGCAAGCCUGAUCCAGCAAUGCCGCGUGCAGGAUGAAGGCCUUCGGUGUAACUGCUUUGUACGGUAACGAAACGGUAGAGCUCUAAUACAGUUUGCUAAUGACGGUACCGUAAGAAUAAGACACCGGCUAACCACGUACG